rnacentral:rRNA from 2 species
UGCUAUCUCUUACCCAUGUCUUUUGAGUACCUUCGUUUCCUCGGCGGGUCCGCCCGCCGAUUGGACACAUUUAAACCCUUUGUAGUUGCAAUCAGCGUCUGAAAAACUUUAAUAGUUACAACUUUCAACAACGGAUCUCUUGGUUCUGGCAUCGAUGAAGAACGCAGCGAAAUGCGAUAAGUAGUGUGAAUUGCAGAAUUCAGUGAAUCAUCGAAUCUUUGAACGCACAUUGCGCCCCUUGGUAUUCCAUGGGGCAUGCCUGUUCGAGCGUCAUUUGUACCUUCAAGCUUUGCUUGGUGUUGGGUGUUUGUCUCGCCUCUGCGCGCAAACUCGCCUCAAAACAAUUGGCAGCCGGCGUAUUGAUUUCGGAACGCAGUACAUCUCGCGCUUUGCACUCAUAACGACGACGUCCAAAAAGUACAUUUUUUACACUCUUGACCUCGGAUCAGGUAGGGAUACCCGCUGAACUUAAGCAUAUCAAUAAGCGGAAGG